UAUAGCUUGACACUGAACACUGGUCCUUGAUGUGCAGGAUAGGUGGGAGGCUUUGAAGUGUGGACGCCAGUCUGCAUGGAGCCGUCCUUGAAAUACCACCCUUUAAUGGCUGGUGUUCUAACGUAGACCCGUGAACCGGGUUGCGGACAGUGUCUGGUGGGUAGUUUGACUGGGGCGGUCUCCUCCUAAAGCGUAACGGAGGAGCACGAAGGUUGGCUAAUCCUGGUCGGACAUCAGGAGGUUAGUGCAAUGGCAUAAGCCAGCUUGACUGCGAGCGUGACGGCGCGAGCAGGUGCGAAAGCAGGUCAUAGUGAUCCGGUGGUUCUGAAUGGAAGGGCCAUCGCUCAACGGAUAAAAGGUACUCCGGGGAUAACAGGCUGAUACCGCCCAAGAGUUCAUAUCGACGGCGGUGUUUGGCACCUCGAUGUCGGCUCAUCACAUCCUGGGGCUGAAGUAGGUCCCAAGGGUAUGGCUGUUCGCCAUUUAAAGUGGUACGCGAGCUGGGUUUAGAACGUCGUGAGACAGUUCGGUCCCUAUCUGCCGUGGGCGCUGGAGAACUGAGGGGGGCUGCUCCUAGUACGAGAGGACCGGAGUGGACGCAUCACUGGUGUUCGGGUUGUCAUGCCAAUGGCACUGCCCGGUAGCUAAAUGCGGAAGAGAUAAGUGCUGAAAGCAUCUAAGCACGAAACUUGCCCCGAG
rnacentral:rRNA from 1 species